rnacentral:lncRNA from 1 species
GCACCUGCCGAUCUACUCCCCGGCGAGACGAGCGCCCCGGCGCGCCCCCAGGGAAUGCGGAGCGAUGAGGCGGCGCUCAGGCACUGACGUCGCCGGCCUGCGCAAGCUGCGCGGCGACCGAACCUGCCACCGCAAGCACGUUGAGGACGGGUAGACCCAUCCAUCCAUCCAUCCUUCCUUCCAUCUUCUAGUCGUCAUCGUCGUAGGGUAGUUUGCAGAUAGCUAGCUCGGUCGUUUCUAGUAAGGGAUCGAUCCAUCGAUCGAUCAGGCGGCAUGGGUGAGGGGGAGGCGGCGGAGGUGAAGGGCGGGGUGCUGCAGGGCCGCUACGAGCUGGGCCGCGUGCUGGGGCACGGCAACUUCGGGCGCGUCCACGCGGCGCGGGACCUGCGCACAGGGCGCGGCGUGGCGGUCAAGGUGCUCGUCAAGGACAAGGUGCUGCGCGCGGGCAUGAUGGAGCAGAUCAAGCGCGAGAUCGCCGUCAUGAAGCGCGUGUCCCACCCCAACAUCGUGGAGCUCCACGAGGUGAUGGCCACGCGCUCCAAGAUCUACCUCGCGCUCGAGCUCGUCCGCGGCGGGGAGCUCUUCGCGCGGAUCGUGCGCGCCGGCCGGGUCAAGGAGGACGUCGCGAGGCGCUACUUCCGCCAGCUCAUCUCCGCCGUCGACUUCUGCCACGCGCGCGGCGUGUACCACCGCGACCUCAAGCCGGAGAACCUCCUCAUCGACGAAGCGGGGAACCUCAAGGUCGUCGACUUCGGCCUCAGCGCGCUCGCCGACCACGCGCGCAGCGAUGGAUUGCUGCACACGCUCUGCGGGACGCCGGGGUACGUCGCGCCGGAGGUGUUCCGGAACAAGGGCUACG